rnacentral:tRNA from 1 species
UCCCUGGUGGCCUAGAGGUUAAGGAUCCAGCAUUGUCACUGCUGUGGCGUGGGUUCGAUUCCUGGCCUGGGAA